CUACAUGAUUACGUAUGCUGCCCAUCCUACUACACCGAGGUCCUAAUUGCUACACCGAGGCUCCCGCUUAUUACUCCACCAAAACGGACGAGUACUACACAAAAGUGGCAAAGUACUUCUCUACCCCGAUCUACACAACGCAGUCCUGACAUGCUACGCAGAAGCUGCUCUUUCGUGCAACGUUGAAGUGAAACACUACACAGAUGCUCCAGUCUACUACACCACGACCUACGCUACACCUAGCUACAACACCGCAGCCCUCAGUACACCAAGGAAGCCGCGUAUUAAUCAAUCACGUACGCUGCCUGGUAUACUAUAUCGAGGAAUUUAAGUAUUACUCUGCUCCAAACUACUAUCAUCUGAGGUUCAUAUGUAUUACACCAUCAAUGCUCCCGUCUGUCACCUACUUAUGUUGCUCCUACCUAUACAUCGAAGUUCUGAAGUACAUUACUGAAUGUGUUGAAAUAUUGCUGAAAUACAAGAUUGAUCGAUAAA